AUUGAACGCUGGCGGUAGGCCUAACACAUGCAAGUCGAACGCGAAAGUCCUUCGGGAUGAGUAGAGUGGCGGACGGGUGAGUAACGCGUAGGAAUCUAUCCUGUAGUGGGGGAUAACGUUUCGAAAGGAACGCUAAUACCGCAUACGCCCCAACGGGGGAAAGGCGGGGGAUCUUCGGACCUCGUGCUAUAGGAGGAGCCUGCGUCGGAUUAGCUAGUUGGUGAGGUAAAGGCUCACCAAGGCGACGAUCCGUAGCUGGUCUGAGAGGAUGAUCAGCCACACCGGAACUGAGACACGGUCCGGACUCCUACGGGAGGCAGCAGUGGGGAAUAUUGCGCAAUGGGCGAAAGCCUGACGCAGCCAUACCGCGUGAGUGAUGAAGGCCUUCGGGUUGUAAAGACUCUGUCGGGA
rnacentral:rRNA from 1 species